UACGUAGGGCGCAAGCGUUGUCCGGAAUUAUUGGGCGUAAAGAGCUCGUAGGCGGUUUGUCGCGUCUGUCGUGAAAGCCCACGGCUUAACCGUGGGUCUGCGGUGGAUACGGGCAGACUAGAGGCAGGUAGGGGAGAAUGGAAUUCCCGGUGUAGUGGUGAAAUGCGUAGAUAUCGGGAGGAACACCAGUGGCGAAGGCGACUUCCUGGCCUGUUCUUGACGCUGAGGCGCGAAAGCUAGGGGAGCAAACGGG
rnacentral:rRNA from 1 species